GCUCGUCGGCACCGUGGAGUCUGUGCGGCGGAGCAAAGACGCUCAGCUGCAGGAGCUGCACAGCAACAUCCACCGCCUGCAGGUGGAGCAGCAGGCUGCAAGCAGCCACCAUGAGGCUGAGGUGAUGGAGCUGAAGCACCAGCUGGACCGCCUGCAGAACCAGGCUGAGAGAGGCCAUCAGGCCCUGCAGCAGAAAGCUCUGGACGAGAAAACCUUGACGAAGCUGAUGGCCGACGUUCAGGAGGCCCAGGAGAUUCUGAGCAAACACAAGACCG